rnacentral:rRNA from 1 species
CGUAAUAAUAGAAACUAACCAGGAUUCCCUUAGUAACGGCGAGUGAACUGGGAUACCAACAAAAUACAUGUGCCUCGCGCGCAUGAUUUAGCCCGUCGAUACUAUCUCAGCAUAUUACCGGUCUCGGCCGGUAGCCCAAUAUGCGGGAAUUGUAGCAUCGUAAUAAUAAAGAAAUUUUAUAUAUGCACGCACACACACACACACCCACCGCGUACGUACACACACUUGUAAACACACAGCGUCUCCGCGUUGGAAAGCAAGUUUAUAUCCUCUUUGGAUAUGCCAUAGAGUGUGACAGCCACGUUUCACUCACAUAGUGUACACACACACACGCUCCGUGCAAAUAAUAUAUAUAUAUUUCUCUAUAACCUGAGUCGAGUUAUUU